rnacentral:rRNA from 1 species
GACAGAGGUGCCGAGCGUUAGGCGGAAUCACUGGGCUUAAAGCGUGUGUAGGCGGAUCGUUAAGUAUCUUGUGAAAUCCCACGGCUCAACCGUGGAACUGCUGGGCAUACUGCGGGUCUUGGGCCAACUAGGGGCAGCCGGAACAAGCGGUGGAGCGGUGAAAUGCGUAGAUAUCGCUUGGAACGCCGAAGGUGAAAAACAGGCUGCUGGGGUUGCGCCGACGCUGAGACACGAAAGCCAGGGGAGCAAACGGG